rnacentral:rRNA from 1 species
GAUGAACGCUGGCGGCGUGCCUAAUACAUGCAAGUCGAGCGAACGGACGAGAAGCUUGCUUUUCUGAUGUUAGCGGCGGACGGGUGAGUAACACGUGGAUAACCUACCUAUAAGACUGGGAUAACUUCGGGAAACCGGAGCUAAUACCGGAUAAUAUUUUGAACCGCAUGGUUCAAAAGUGAAAGACGGUCUUGCUGUCAGUUAUCGAUGGAUCCGCGCUGCAUUAGCUAGUUGGUAAGGUAACGGCUUACCAAGGCGACGAUGCAUAGCCGAUCUGAGAGGGUGAUCGGCCACACUGGAACUGAGACACGGUCCAGACUCCUACGGGAGGCAGCAGUAGGGAAUCUUCCGCAAUGGGCGAAAGCCUGACGCAGCAACGCCGCGUGAGUGAUGAAGGUCUUCGGAUCGUAAAACGCUGUUGUUAGGGAAGAACAUAUGUGUAAGUAACUGUGCACAUCAUGACGGUACCGGAUCAAAAAGCCACGGCUAACUACGUG